rfam:Pteropus alecto contig60127, whole genome shotgun sequence.
GUCUACAGCCAUGCUAACCUGAAUGAGCCCAAUCCCAUCUGAUCUCGGAAGCUAAGCAGGGUCGGGCCUGGUUAGUACUUGGAUGGCAGACCACCUAGGAAGACCAGGUGCUGUAGGCA